rnacentral:rRNA from 1 species
GUCGAGGGGCAUCAGUUUGGUUUGCUUGCAAACCAAAGCUGGCGACCGGCGCACGGGUGAGUAACACGUAUCCAACCUGCCUCAUACUCGGGGAUAGCCUUUCGAAAGAAAGAUUAAUAUCCGAUAGCAUAUAUUUCCCGCAUGGGUUUUAUAUUAAAGAAAUUCGGUAUGAGAUGGGGAUGCGUUCCAUUAGUUUGUUGGGGGGGUAACGGCCCACCAAGACUACGAUGGAUAGGGGUUCUGAGAGGAAGGUCCCCCACAUUGGAACUGAGACACGGUCCAAACUCCUACGGGAGGCAGCAGUGAGGAAUAUUGGUCAAUGGACGCGAGUCUGAACCAGCCAAGUAGCGUGAAGGAUGACUGCCCUAUGGGUUGUAAACUUCUUUUAUAUGGGAAUAAAGUUGUCCACGUGUGGAUUUUUGUAUGUACCAUAUGAAUAAGGAUCGGCUAACUCCGUGCCAGCAGCCGCGGUAAUACGGAGGAUCCGAGCGUUAUCCGGAUUUAUUGGGUUUAAAGGGAGCGUAGGCGGAUUGUUAAGUCAGUUGUGAAAGUUUGCGGCUCAACCGUAAAAUUGCAGUUGAUACUGGCAGUCUUGAGUGCAGUAGAGGUGGGCGGAAUUCGUGGUGUAGCGGUGAAAUGCUUAGAUAUCACGAAGAACUCCGAUUGCGAAGGCAGCUCACUGGAGUGUAACUGACGCUGAUGCUCGAAAGUGUGGGUAUCAAACAGGAUUAGAUACCCUGGUAGUCCACACAGUAAACGAUGAAUACUCGCUGUUUGCGAUAUACAGUAAGCGGCCAAGCGAAAGCAUUAAGUAUUCCACCUGGGGAGUACGCCGGCAACGGUGAAACUCAAAGGAAUUGACGGGGGCCCGC